rnacentral:lncRNA from 1 species
AUGAAGGAUGAAAUGUUUUUUCCAAUUCCAUCUGAUUUUUUGAAAGAUGACAACAAGGGUGAUAUUACCACUGCUACUACUACCCAUGCUACUACUACCCAUGCUACUACUACCCAUGCUACUACUACCACUGCUACUAGUACUACUACUAAUACUAUCACCACUACUAUUGCAACUACUCCUACCAAUAGUAGUUAUUAUCAUAUUAAUAGCAAGGAUAGUAUUAAUAAUAACAUUUGUGAUUACAAUAUAACUGGUAGUGCUAUUACGAAUAAUAACAACUCGAAUUUUAGUGGGGGUAUGACUAGUACCACUGCUAUCGCAACAAUGAACUCGAACAUGUUAAACUACAAUAUUUCUCGUUAUCACAUUCUUAAUGAAAAGAACAGAUGUUCUAAUAAAAAUAAAAAAGAUAAAAUUGGAAUGAGUCACAAUUUAUCACGUAAUGUAAGAAACACUAUUUUUACAGAUUAUUUUUUGCCAACAACACAACAAACACAUAAAAUAAUAAAUUGCAAUAUGAUAACGUGGGAAAAUUUUUUUGAAAACAGAAAUAAUAACAAAAAUGGUAAAAACAGCAUUCAUAAUAGUAGCAGCAAUACAACUUAUAUGGUAAAAACAUGUGAAAAUGAUAAUAAAGCUUUAUUUUUUAAUUAUCGUUGUAUAAAAAAAAAUAAAAGAUCUAUUAGUGUAGAUAUUUUAUUUUCAACAAAAAAUAAUAUGCAUAGAACGACAAAUAAUAGCUUUUUAGAUACUAGCCAAAAAAAAUAUGAAAAUUUAAUUAAUUUAGGAUUAAUAAAAAAAAAGAACAAAAGUGAUAUCAUCACACGACAUAAUUAUAAUUUAAGCAAUGUGUAUCUAAGUAGUAACAAUAAUAAUAACAAUAAUAAUAACAAUAAUAAUAACAAUAGUAAUAACAAUAAUAAUAAUAAUAAUAAUAAUAAUAAUAAUAUGUUUGAAAAAAAAAAUAUAAAUGAUACUAAAAAGUUGGUAGAAUAUAAAAACGUUAUAGAUAAUAAUGAAAAGAAUUACAAAAAUGAAAUUUUAAUUGUAUUAAACAAUGAACGAAUUGUACAUAUGCAGAAUGAAAAUAAUUCAUUAUCAAAUUUAAACAAUACCAUAGAAAGUAGUUUUAAAAAUAAAAAUACAAAUGCAAUUAGUUUUAAAGACAAGUUUUUGACUCAUGUAGAUACUUUGAAAAAUAAAACGAAGCAAUUUAACGAAUCAAUUAAAAAUAUAUAUGAAAACAAAGAUAAUACAUUUUUUAAAACAUUUUUUAAAUCGAAUAAAAUAAAAGAAAAAAGUGUAUCAGAUAAUGAACAGGAUGUCGAGCACCAAACACAACAUACUGAUAAUACAAAUGACGUGUUGAACUUGAAUAACACAGAUUGUUGCAAAUAUAUAAUAGAAAAAACUGAAAGAAGUAAUAAAGAGUUGGGUAAUAAAUGUAGUGAUGUGUAUCAAAUUAAUAAAAUAGACCUAACUAAUAAAAUAGACCUAAGUAAUAAAAUAGACCUAAGUAAUAAAAUAUAUGUGACGGAUAAAAGUAAGAAGCUUCGUUCAAAUUAUGCGAAUAUUGAGUUAGACAUAGAUAAUGUGAACGGAUAUAAUAAUAAUAAUAAGAAUAAUAAUAAUAAUAAUAAUAAUAAUAAUAAUAAUAAUAAUAAUGAGGCUGAUAAUAUGCCGAACCAUGUAAAUAGUACCACUAAUAAUGUUAAAAAAAAUACUAAUGAUGUAAUAGAUUAUUAUGGAAAUUUAGUUGCAAAAGAUACUUUGAAUAAAAUGUAUGAAAGUGAUAAAAUAAAAACAACUGAGGAAAUAUAUUUUGACAGAACAAAAGACAUACAACUCGACGAAAUAAGUAACCUGGAAGAAUAUAACAGGUUUUAUAAAUUAAAUUAUGAUGAAAAAACCAAAACUUUAUUUAAUAAUGUAACUACAAAUACAAGCAGUGGUGAUGAUUCUGUUAAUAGCAUAUUGAAAGAAAAAUAUUGUAACUAUCAAAAACGAAGAAAUAAGUACAGACAAUUGUUUGAAUAUAUAAAAGAAUUAAGUUGGAGUAUAAAACAAAAAGAAAACAAAAAAAGUUUUAAUUUAUAUAUGAACAGUAUAAGUCAAAAGAGUAAAUGCAAUAUUGGUAGUAAUAGCAGUAGUGACUCUAUACGCACAAGUUUUAGCUUAUGUAGUAAUCGUAGUAGUAUAUAUACACCUUACAGUAAUGCUUAUUCAAAUCAGAGUCUACAUAGUAUUCAUAAUACAAGCAAAAACAGUAGCAAAAGAAAAGAUACAAACAAAUACAAUGAAAAAAUCAUAGACAAAAAAGAUUUUAAGAAUACUGCUACUACUAAUACUACUAUGUCACAGGAAGAGGAAUUGAAAAAACAAAAAGAACUUCUAAAUAAAUUAAUACUACUUAAAUAUAAUAUUUUAAAAAAACAAGAACAUAAUCUUACCAAAAAAAAAAAUAAAAAAAAUAUUUAUAUGAAUGACUCUUCUGAAGAAAUCGAAAUGUUUAGUGAUAGUGAAAACAGUAGUGAUUAUUAUUUUGGAAAAAAUAAAAAAAUAAAAAAUUAUUUUUACGAUAUAAAAUAUCAAACAGUAAAAGAAAAAAAACAAAAAAUUAAACUAAAUGAAAAAAUAAAAAAAUUAGAAACGUAUUUAAUUAUGAAUAAUAUAUAUAAAAAAGAUAAUAAAGGAUUAAUUGCAAAAGAACAUCAUACGAUACAUAAAAAAACAGAUUUUUAUUGGAAACUAGCCAAUACAAAAAGGGAUGUAAACAUAGUUCAAAAUAUAUCUAAUAAUUUAAUGGAAACCGGAUUCACUAAUUUUGUUGAUCAGGCUAAUAAAAGUGCAUCCAACAAUGUAAGUGCUGUAAAUAGUGCUGACAAUACUAACGCUGCUAACACGGCCAACAUUGAUAAUAAUAAUAAUAAUAAUAAUAACAAUAAUAAUAAUAAUGGUAAUAAUAAAAAGAAAAAAUAUAUCAAUACUAAUUCAGAAGUUACAAAUCCGAGUAAUAAAAAAAAGGAACAAACAAAAUUUGACACAAAUAGUACCAGUGUUAAUGUUACUACUACUACUACUUAUAGUGGAAGCAACGACAGCAAUAAGAAUAGAGAAAACACAACUGUUGUGGAAGCUAAACCAGAUGAUAUACAACUUCAGUUUCAAACCAAAAUAAAAAAUUAUUUAGAUAAUUUUAAUGCUACCAAAUGUGAUAAAUAUAUAUCGUUUUUAAUGUUAGCACAAAAAAAGCCAUACAUAUUAGACCCAUCUAUAUAUGACUCAAAAAAAAUUCUUGAUAAGCAUAUACCGACUAAUGGACGUUUUACUGCUAAGGCAAUGUGUAAAAUAUUAGCUUAUACGAAUAAUAAUUUUUUUUUCCCUUCUUAUAUAUUAAAUAAAAUGAGAAAAGUAUAUGCAUAUGAUAAUAGUAUAGAAGCUGCUAUAUUGACUGGUGGAAUGAGUAGAACAUGGGGAAUGGGUUUUCAAUUGUUUACAUGUGAAUAUGCAGGAGAUAUAAAUGAAGAGUUUUAUUUGUAUAAAAAAAUAAAAAACAGAAGGAAAGUGAAAAAAGAGAAUGUUAAAAAGGGUAGGCAUCAUAGUAGAACGAAAGGUAACAAAAGAAAUGGAAAUCGGACUGACGACUGUAAUAAUAACAAUACAGCUGAAACUAUUCAAAGCAGAAAAAUUGUUGGCUAUGGACAAUCAGAUUGUUCAGGAUGUUUGGCUUUAUCAUUUCCAGAAAUCGAUUUGUCUCUUACUAUUUUGUUAUCUGAUCUAUUUAAAGGAGCAGAUGUAAGUGUAAAAAAAAAAAAAAAAAAAAAAAAAAAAAUCAAACCCAAUAACUUUAUUAUAUAUAUGUAUAUUUGUCUGUAUAACUUCACAUUUUUUACAUAUAUAUUGCACAAAAUUAUGAACAUGCAUAUUGUUCUACAUUGUUCUACAUUGUUCUACUUUACUCUACACUGUUACUUAUUCAUUUUUUUUUUUUUUUUUUUUUUUUAUCAUUAG